CCCUGGGUUAUUUUUUUUAUUAUAGUUGCCUUACACUGUUGUGCAUUUUUGUUUUUUAAUAAAGGACAAUCCUCUUUAAAAUGCCAUGACUAGGGGCAGAAAGCUAUUUCAUAAUUUUUAAGAAACCACCUAGCUCCUGAGUGCCACUCCUUCACCUUGCUGUCAGCGACGUGAUGUGCGCUGCACAGUGCUGGAAUUAGGAGUUGGAGAGCGAUCCCGGCCUUGGCCUGCGGUGCUCAGGAGGCCGUGGGCGGUGGCUGAACAGCCAGGGUGCAAUGACUGAAUCCCACCCUCCACAGGAAAAGGACAAAUUCUUCCCUCUGUUAACCUCUCCGUGCCGAAGACCCCAGAGGCAGCUCUCCGUAUCCCAAGACGUGGUCACUCCAAACCCACAGUGAGCGGCUCCUGUGCUCGGCUUUUGCUCCACAAACU
rnacentral:lncRNA from 1 species